CAGGGACAACCUUCCUCACAGGCCGAUCAGAGCGGUGAGGCCUCUGUGAACAGCUCCGCCUGGAGUCCUAUCAAAUCCUCCAUGGCAGCCCCAAGCCGCAUCACCUCAGCAAGGGAAGACUUAGAUCAAGUCCCAGAGGGGACUUCCUUAAAGUCAGGCAGAAAGUCUCCUCGAAGAGGAUGGGCACAGAGAGAAGGCAAGCGAAACCAGCCCCUAGCUUAAUCCUGUUUCCUUCAAUGAGGACAUCCUGGAAUCAGAGAAACACCACUGGACCAGCCUGGGGUGGCAAGCACGGAGACCCCCUGCAGCCUCUUCCCGGAAGGCACAUAGGCAAGGCGGAGCAUGCCACUCCACCCCAGGGCGGGCUAACCGGACACAUGCCUGGGGAGCGAGGAACAGAUAUGGUAAACGGACACAUCCCCCCAGGUCACAAUAGGAUCAUGGACAACUUUCUCCAACCCUCCACCUCCCGGCCAGAGUGACUCCAUUCUGCAGCAAGCCACCAUUUAGCUUCUCUAUGCACCAGGAUGCCCUGAGACAGCCGUCCUUCCCACGGCUGGGCAGCGUUUGCUGAGCCUGGCAGGAUCUGUGGUGAUAAUCACAUCUCGGAACCUUUCCAGGCCUGGUGCUGCCUGAGCCUUCAGUCACCGAGACUGCCUCGACACGGGCAGUACCUGAACCUGAGCGUGCACCUGUUCCACCGAGCUUACAGUCAUUAUUGAAGUGGUCAUUUAUUAAGUUGGCUUAAGAAAACAUAGCCACCUGCAGUGACCCACGGCUCUGUAAAUAA